rnacentral:lncRNA from 1 species
AUAUAUUUGUAUGAGCUGCACACAAGUGUAUGAGUGGUUCAGACGUUUACAAGAUGGCCGAAAACUGUCGAUAAUAACGAACGUUCUGGCAACCAACAGAAGUGAAUUUAUAUAUUUAUAUAGAUAUCUAUACAUCUGUCUCUCUAUAUAUAGUUAGAUGUAUAUUUAUGUGUGUGUGUACUUAACUGUGUGCGUGUUAGUGUGUGUGUAUGUAUGUUUGCGUGUGUGUGUGUAAGUUGACUUCGCUAUAUGACUUGGCUAUAUUUGUUUCUGUGGAGACAUUUGUAUGUUACUCCUACCGCACUGCUUCAGUGUUUUGAUGUAUUUAGCAUAAGAUACUGUUCAGUAGAGGUUUCUAGUGACAUUGAAAUAGUGUUUACUUUGCAUUUUAGUUGACCAACUGGUGUUGAAAUUGUUGGGGCAAUCUUUUAAUUGACAUAUGUAGGUAGACAGGAUUGUGGCAUUCCUCCUGUCUGUUUUUUUCUGAAGCUGUGGUCUAGUGAUAAAAGUUCAUGAAGAUAUACUUGCUUAUAUAUUACUGAAUUUUAUAGUUGUUUGUGAUCCAAAGUUGGUAGACGCGUAAUAUGGCAUUAAUAAACACUGGCAGAAUAGUAGCCAUUACCACUAUUUUUACUUCUCCCGCUUUGUAUUUUCUGCAAUUUUUGUUUCUAUUUUUGUCACAUAACCCAGCUUCUGAUGAAGUAAAAGUAUUUGAAUACCGGGAUAUAUAAGAAAUUCGGUAAUAUACGAGGGGCGUUCAAUAAGUAAUGCCCCUGACCCACUUCCCAUAGUAGUAGAGCAACGAAACUUGGCACAGUUAUUAGUCCUUUUUUACAUAGGAACCACCCAGAGUUACGCAUUUCUCCCAUCGUUUGAUGCGGCUCUGGAGACCGUUUUUGUAGAAGAACCCAGCUUGGUCCUCCAACCUCAACGUGUCUUCAGAAAUCAAGGCUGCAUCAUCUGGGAAACGCUUUCCUUUCAAAAACAACUUCAUGAUUGGGAAGAGGUGAAAAUUAGAGGGUGCAAGGUCAGGAAAGUAGGGGGGAUUGGGAGGAGUUCAUAGCCAUACGCCUGUGCUUCUGAUCUGGCGACAAGCGAGUUGUGGACCGGAGCGUUGUCCUGCAGGAGGAGGAUGUCUUUGCUGAUCUUGCCCCGCCUCUUGAUUUUGAUAACUUCUCUUAAUUUCCUCAAAAGUGAAGCAUUAUAGGCUCCUGCAAUUUUGGUACCCUUUGCCAGGAAAUCUGUCAUCACUACUCCCUCCUGGUCCCAGAAGACUGUGAGCAUGACCUUGCCAGCGGAGGGCUGCACCCUUGCCUUCUUUGGAGGGGUGAGUCACGGUGCUUCCACUGCAUUGACUGGGCUUUGGUCUCUGGAUCAUCGUGAUGGACCCAGGUUUCAUCCUGUGUAAUCAGUCUUUUGAAAAAUUUUGACUCAUCUUCUUGGCACAUCUCCAAAUUCACCCUCGAGCACUCUACGCGAUCUUGCUUCUGGAAAGGCGUGAGCAACCUGGGAAUCUAUCUGGCAGACACCUUUUGCAUAUGCAAAUGGUCAUGAAUGAUAGUUUCCACAGACCCGGUACUAAUCUUGACCUCAUGGGCUAUUUGGCGAAUAGUUAUGCGUCGAUCUUCCAAAAUGGCAGUCUCAACAUGACGGACAGAUGCCUCAUCAAUGGCAGAAGGGGGCGACCAGAUCUGGGAGCUGUUUCCACAGAGUUCCGACCAUGUUUGAAUUCACGAUGCCAGCGUUUUACAAGGUCAUAUGAUGGGGCAUCAUCACCAUAAGUUACUUUCAUUUCAUCAAAAGUCUCCCGUGGUGUGCGUCCUUUCAAAUACAAAAACCGGAUCACUGCUCGACACUCAACAGGCUCCAUUUCACACUUGACUCGGUUCGAACACCUGUAAAUCAGAAACCACAAUUAAUUCAGAGCUGUAAUUUGCCACUUACUCUUUAGAGAUAUAAAUGAUUGUACAUGCAAAAUUUCAGCUAGAUCAAAUAACUGCAAGUGGGUCAGAGGCAUUACUUAUUGAACGUCCCUCGUACAACCACCCGAAAUGAGUAGACGACCAACAGAAAAUAGCUUUGGAAUAAGUCAAAUUUUAGCGUUUCCAUUUCUCCUUUCUCAGUGCAUUUUAUGAUGCGACGAGAAAACAAAUCACCAGUUUCGAACUGAGAUGUAUCAUUUUAAUCCAGGCACUAAUAUUAAAUAAACCUUAAUUAUUUGUCACUUGAAUCGUCUGAAUAGUUUAAAACUGUUUUCACGAAUUGGAGUCAAUGCGAAUUUUAUAAUUUUUUUUUUUUUUUGGACUGUGAUUGAUUUUAUGUGGAAGAAUUGUUAAUUGCACGAGGUUAGAACGCAACUCAUAUUCUUCCUCUGAUUUUUGCGCCAGGAGUUCUCCAUACUAGGACUGAGAGUAGUCUUAUCCGUGAAUUCGCUUUUUUGUAGGGCGUUAUUGUAGUUUCUUUAUGGUUUCAUCAGAUGUCGCUCCAUCUGAGGAUAUUUUAAAUUCUUCUACUUUCAUUUUGCACACUAUACUUUUGAAUACAAUCUACGAAUGUCUACUGGCCUCUCUCUUUCUCUCUCUCUCACACACACUCUGUCUCUCUCUCUCUCUCUUUCUCUCUUUCACCCUCUCUCUCACCUUUUUUCUUACCCUCUCUUUCUUUCUCUUUCUCUCUAUCUCCCUUUCUCUAAAUAUAUAUAUAUGUAUAUAUAUGCAUAUAUAUAUGUGUGUGUGUGUAUGUGUAUAUAUAUAUAUAUAUAUAUAUAUAUAUAUAUAUAUAUAUAUAUAUACAUACUAGCAGUAAUACCCGUCGUUCAUCGGAUAAUUACUUUUACUCUUUCUCAGGAGUCACAUUCAAAGUAUUAUUAUAUGUAUAAUAGAUUUCUCAACGGGGAUUUCAGGGGAGAGUUUCAGGGAGUCGCUGGCGAUGUAUCGUGAUGAUCAAAAAUCCGGCCUGCUGAAAUUUGGUUAAAGUGAUUGAAACUGCAGACUCAACGCAAAAUGGUCACAUUUAAUUCAAAGCGUUAAAAAUGUUAUGAAAACAAUUGGUAUGUGUUCACUAUGUCCAAACGAUUAAUACGAAAAAACCCUCCAGGCUACAUCCCGAAAAUUCAUUUCUUUGCCGAAUUUCUACAAUUUUUACGACGAUUCGUUUUUAUAUCUUGAUUUUUUAUUUUUCAUGCAAUUUACGCGUGGUGAACACAGUUCACGUUAAACAGCUGACUGAGUAAAGUUCAAUAUUCAAUGCAUGGGAUAAGGCCUAAACAAACACAUUAUCGAUUUUUGCACUUGCGAGAUGAAUUUCGGAACAGAAAUAGCGCAGUUCAAUUUUCAUUCGCCUAAACUUUAAGUGACUCAUUUUUGGUGGUUCUACGAUUUGUUGGCUAGGAGAUGUGCCGGGAAUUUAAACACACAGAUACACACACAUAGAUACACACACAGACACACAAGUUGAGUUUUAUAUAUAUAGAUAUAUAUGCAUACAUAUAUAUAUGUAGAUGUAUGUAUGUAUUUACGUAGGCAAAACAAUAACAUCUUUCCUCCACUCUAGCGUUCUAGUGAGGGAUAGUGGAGGGGAAGUGCGACGACGUUCUCGGAGAAACUCUAGGCGUCGACAAAGAUCAGCUAACCGGUCUGCUUUGGAGAACUUUCAGGCCUGAGCCUAUGGAUAACUUCCAGAAAUCCUUUGCCUGGCUAUGCUACCGAAGGGUGCUGCCUGCUUGGGAUAAAUUUUGCAGGCACGGAAGCGCCGUUAGCCGGGCCUGCCCAAGGAGCACGCAGAGCGACGAAAAGCGUUCUGUGCACCCUCGUCCAGUGCCCUAGGAUUGCUGACCGAUGGGUUUAUGUUGAACACUUGCUGUCGCGUGUAGGACAGAUGCGGCUAUCAGCUGAAUCAAUAAUGAAGAUUGCCCCACUGCCCUCCUUUUGGCGAGGUGGGGUAAGCAGUUUUUAUUUGUCUAGUGUAUGUAGCGAAAGAGGUAGUAUGGAGGAUUCGUUUGAAAGGGCCAAAGUCAGACACUUUCCUCUAUGGUCAAGCCUUCGUCAACUUUUUCAAGUUUCACUUGAAAAGGAAGUCUUGCCCUCUAGUGAGUUUGUUGAAAGAUGGGUUACGGUUGAAAGAAUGGCCAGUAUGAAAUUCUGAGUAUAAUUCUGAGUAUACACCUGUAAAGAAGUAAAAUAAGGGUUCUUGCUCUGUUGACCAGGUAUCUAUGACUUUUGUGGAGUUUUCCACAAGUACCUUUAAAGCGUCCCUCGCCCCCUUUUGGGAGUUUUGUAUUGUUUAAUUGUCAUUCUUAUAUAUUGUUUACACGCGGAAAACCCUUUGCAUCGUUUUGUGCUGUUUUUCAUGUUGUUGCAUAUCUUUUAAUGUUGUUUUAUGUAAGCCCUUGUGGCUAAUAAAGGAAUAAGUAAUAACAAUAAUAAUUAUUAUUAUUGUUAUUAUUGAGUAAGAGAGCAGUUCAUACCAUCAAAGUGACAAUGGGGUAAAACAUACAAAUCCCAGUAUGCGCAUCAUAACUACCCGUCUGAUAAGGGUACACCAGGCACAUGCAUCGCAUCCAUAUGUGUGCGACGUGGCGAUGUCAUAUCAAUAUAAACAGCACAUGAUCUUGCACGUGGGACCCAGUUAGAAUUUUCUUCAGGUUGAGUAGCCCAACCAUUAUUGUUGUUGUUGCUGUUUGUUUUUGUUGUUGUUGCUACUGUUGCUGCUGCUGCGGCUGUUACUGAAGCGGUGAGCUGAUAGAAUCGUUAACACACCGGGCAAAAUCCUUAGCGACCAUCUUGUCGUUCUGAGUUCAAAUUCCGCCGCGGCCGACUUUGCACUUCAUCAUUUCUGAGUCGAUAAAAUAAGUACCAGUUGAGUACUGGACCGGUUUAAUCGACUUAACCCCUUCCACCAAAACUGGUGGCCUUGUACUAAAACUUGAAACCACUAUUAUUCUUUUUUUCAUUGACACAUUUGUUCUGGCAGAUGUUAUACCGACACUAUACCAAAAAAAAACGCGAGCCAUAUCGAAUGGUCAUUACUUCAACUUUCUAACACAUUCCUUAGAAUGCUUACUGUUCCUAGCAAGGUUAUCGUCUGCAACAGCCAUGUUCUGAUGAUAAUUCCUAGCUUCUCAAGCCAUGCAUACAGUCUUUUACUAACUGCUACCAGAGCACUAACCACAAUGGGACCAACUCCUACGAGCCUGAUUCUUCAUACGCUCCUGAUUCUCCACUUCAGCUCCUGAUAUUUUUCCACGUUCUCACUUGCCUUCUCAUUCACUGUGGUCGCACAGUGAAGCAAUACUCGUAAUAAUUACCUCGCUCUUCUUUUCUACAAAAAUAAAAUGGUCACACUGGAUGGUUAUGUCCUAUACGAUCUUAUAUUGUUCAUUUUCACCAACUUAUUAUUAUUGUUAUUAUUAUUAUUAUUAUUAUUAUUAUUAUUAUUAUUAUUAUUAAUAAUAAUAAUAAUAAUAAUAAUAAUAAUAAUAAUAAUAAUAAUAAUAAUAAGCACGCUGGACGAAAUGCUUAGCAGUAUUUCUCCCGUCGCUACGUUCUGAGUUCAAGUUCCGCCGAGGUCGACUUUGUCUUUCAUUCUUUCGGUAAAAUAGGUACCAGUUAAACACUGGGGUCGAUGUAAUCGACUCAUCCCAACAGCAUCCAAGCUGCCCUUGUGGGCAAAUUUUGAAAUUAUUAUUAUUAUGUAAGUCCCAACAAUGUCGUGUCUGUGAAUAUAUUCCUUCUUAGCCAGGACUGGGCAGCCAGAGGUGAAUUAUUCAAACCCCAAACAAUUCUCUCAACACAUGGUUAUGAUGUCACCCUUCUUUCUCUACAUGUGAUCAGAGAGAGGCACAUGCCAUCAGCCAAAAGGAACAUGCUCAACUGGUCAUGGCCCAAAGACUGAUAAGUAGAUCUGUGGUAUUGAGCAGAAUAUUUGCUGUAGCCUAUCUUUUAUACAAAGACAAAACAAUGUACAUAACACUUCAUGAUCAAAAGCUGUCAUGGCUUUUGAUCAUGACACAUCCAAUGAGUUAUGAUCAAAAGCCAUGACAGCAAGUACCAUGUACUGCAUCAGAGCAUUUAUCAUUGUUAUCAUCAUCAUGAUAAUCAACAUCAUCGACCUCAUCAUAAUCAUCAUCAUCAUCAUCGACAUCAUCGACAUCAUCAUCAUCAUCAUCAUUAUCAUCGUCAUCAUCAUCAUCAUCAUCAUCGACAUUAUCGACAUCAUCAUCAUCAGCAGCAGCAUCACUAUCAUCAUCAUCAUCAUCAUCAUCGACAUUAUCGACAUCAUCAUCAUCAGCAGCAGCAUCACCAUUAUCAUCAUCAUCAUCGUCGUCAUCAUCAUCGUCGUCGUCAUCAUCAUCAUCAUCAUCAUCAUCAUUAUUAUCAUUAUUAUUAUUAUUAUCCAGUGGCUUUAUUUUUCAUAUUAAGUGUUCUCACUGCGCGUCCGUGAGUAUCUCUGUGUGUCUUGGGUAUGCACUGUGGACUGUUUUAGUGUUGUUAUCUUCACGUAGGGCGUGUGCGCUGCCUUGCAGCAUUAUGAAGCAUGAUAAUGAAGUAUGUUACAUAUAUAUUUGUAAAUCCCCGUUUUUUUUUUUUAUUAUAUAUUUGUCUGCACGUUUUUAACCAUGCCCAAUGCACCUAUUACUAUUGGGAUUGUUCCUGUUUUCAGGCCCCUCAUUCUGUUUAUCUCUAUUUCUAGAUCUUAAUAUUUUGAGAGUUUCUCCUUUUGUUUUAGGGAUAUAUUGUCAUCUGUUGGAACUAAUGAUAUGUCGAAUAUUAGACAUUUUCUUUCUUGGUAGUCUGCGACAACAAUAUCAGGCCUAUUAGCCUUGAUCGUUCUAUAAGCGCGUAUUGGCAUAUCCCAGAGUAUUGUUGCUUUGCCGCAGAGUAAAUAUAGACCAAGCUCCCGUUGUUGGAGUCAUAUAUUCUGAGAUGUGUUUAUACCAAGUUGUUCUUGUUGACAUUGCAUACUGCUGGCGCAGCUUCCACAGCAUCUAGAUCCCAACAUUGUCAUACAUGUGUAUGCGUUCAUUCUUCGCCCGAACUGGACAACCAGAAGCAAUAAAUCAUAUUGUGGUUUAAGCAUGAUGAUGUUGAUGAUGAUGAUGACGACAAUGAUAGCGAUGACGGUGAUGCAGAUGAGAAUGAAAACUAUGAUGAUGAUGAUGAUGAUGCCGAGAAGGUUUAUGAUGAUAAUGAUGAUGAUAUGAUGAUGAUGAUGAUGAUGAUGGUAAUGACUAUGAUGAUGAAGAUGAUGAUUGUUUGUUGAGCCUGACGGUGAAUUAGAUAUCUUUUCUCUCUCUUUUGUUUUACAGUUGGUUAGUUUCCCCAUGCUUGGUCUUAACGGCUGGAACAAUGCUUCUGAC